GAUGAACGCUGGCGGCGUGCUUAACACAUGCAAGUCGAACGAAGCACCUUGAUUCGAUUCUUCGGAUGAAGAUCUUGGUGACUGAGUGGCGGACGGGUGAGUAACGCGUGGGUAACCUGCCUCAUACAGGGGGAUAACAGUUAGAAAUGACUGCUAAUACCGCAUAAGACCACAGCACCGCAUGGUGCAGGGGUAAAAACUCCGGUGGUAUGAGAUGGACCCGCGUCUGAUUAGGUAGUUGGUGGGGUAACGGCCUACCAAGCCGACGAUCAGUAGCCGACCUGAGAGGGUGACCGGCCACAUUGGGACUGAGACACGGACCAAACUCCUACGGGAGGCAGCAGUGGGGAAUAUUGCACAAUGGGGGAAACCCUGAUGCAGCGACGCCGCGUGAGCGAUGAAGUAUUUCGGUAUGUAAAGCUCUAUCAGCAGGGAAGAAAAUGACGGUACCUGACUAAGAAGCACCGGCUAAAUACGUG
rnacentral:rRNA from 1 species